UACGUAGGCAGCAAGCGUUGUUCGGAAUUACUGGGCGUAAAGAGUGUGUAGGCGGUGCUCCAAGUCUGGUGUGAAAUCUCCCGGCUCAACUGGGAGGGUGCAUUAGAAACUGGAAUGCUAGAGGAUGGGAGAGGUAAGCGGAAUUCCUGGUGUAGCGGUGAAGUGCGUAGAUAUCGGGAGGAACACCUAUGGCGAAGGCAGCUCGCUGGGACGUUACUGACGCUGAGACGCGAAAGCGUGGGGAGCAAACAGG
rnacentral:rRNA from 1 species